GAUGAACGCUGGCGGUAGGCUUAACACAUGCAAGUCGAGGGGCAGCAUGGUCUUAGCUUGCUAAGGCUGAUGGCGACCGGCGCACGGGUGCGUAACGCGUAUGCAACUUGCCUCACAGAGGGGGAUAACCCGUCGAAAGACGGACUAAUACCGCGUACACUCUAUGUUGGGCAUCCGAUGUAGAGGAAAUGAAAUUCGCUGUGGGAGAGGCAUGCGUCCCAUUAGCUUGUUGGGGAGGUAACGGCUCACCAAGGCGACGAUGGGUAGGGGAACUGAGAGGGUGAACCCCCACACUGGUACUGAGACACGGACCAGACUCCUACGGGACGCAGCAGUGAGGAAUAGUGGGCAAGGGGCGAGAGCCUGAACCAGCCAAGUCGCGUGAAGGAUGACUGUCUUAUGGAUUGUAAUCUUCUUUUAGACGGGAAGAACAAGAGUCACGUGUGGCUCCCUGCAGGUACCGUAUGAAUAAGCAUCGGCUAACUACGUG
rnacentral:rRNA from 1 species